GGUACAGACCUAGUAAUUGCUGGUCAUGUCCAUGCUUAUGAACGCUCGAAACGUGUGAAUGCUGGAAAAUCUGAUCGUUGUGGUGCUGUGCAUAUCACUAUCGGCGAUGGAGGAAACCGAGAAGGUUUAGCUCACAAGUACAACUCGCAGCCUGAAUGGUCAAUUUUUCGGGAAGCUAGUUUCGGUCAUGGUGAACUCAAGAUAGUAAACUCAACUCAUGCCUUUUGGAGUUGGCAUAGAAAUGAUGAUGAUGAA
rnacentral:misc_RNA from 1 species